AUGCUCGCCUAUCUGCUGAAUGGAAUGAGCAAUUAGAGGGUGGAAUAUUAUUGCGAUCUUAACGAGGCUCGUUAAAGCUAAAGAAGAUAUGUAGACUGGAGAUGCUUAGCAGAGACGGGCGGGGAGGGAGGGAGGGAGGCAGAGGGAGCUUUAAAUGGGUGACAAAUGGACAACCAAUGACUGCAACUCGGGAAUACACGUUUUGAAUAGAAGCGAGUCAAUUUGCACAUUAUUUUCGCAUAGUUUUUCCUGUAGUUGCUACUUUUUUAUCUUUCCAUCAGCCCAUUCAUUUUUUCUCUCUUGUGCGAGGCGUUAGAGUGUUCUAGCUGCAUUUUUUUCCAAACAAGUUAUCGCUUUCUUGUUUUCUGAAAUAUCAGACACAGUCCUGUAACCGUUUGGCUUUUGCCCCGGAUUCGUCGGUGAUUUUAUCAUAUUUUACAAAAAAAAAAAAGCAUUUUUUCUGACAUGAUCGGGGGCUGGCUGGUGUGUGGUCACUCGGUGCUGCUGGUCCGGGUGUAAGCUGCAGUGUGAUGCCGCUCCCCCUCCUGCUGUCCCCGGCCCCUGCCUCCGGGACGCUGGGUCCAGCCCUGGCCCCCUGCCCGCUGCCUUUUCUCUCCAACCAACACAAUUUAUUGUUCAAAAUGAAUAUCGAUGCGCAGCGUUGUGUUGAUUAAACACAGAUCAUGGUAUUGUAGAACUAAUUUGCCAGCGCCCUUUUAGCUCUUUAUUUUUUUCCAUAGUCCGGCCCUCUAAUUAAAACCAUUAGUAUUGGAAUUGCAAUCAAAUGGCAACAUGAAAGCUUCUUGGGCACAUAAAAGCAGUUUUCAUGUAUUUGAUCUAGUGGUAAGGACAUGAUCAAUGUCCACAUCCAGUCACAGGAUUCGGCUUACAGCGGUAGCCACGGCGGUGUGAUUUUCAUGUUUAUGGCUAAAACGGCUUCAUAUUUAGACAGGGCUUACAGGGUGUUAAAAUAGUGUGAGUUCACUCUAACACGAACAGUGCUCACAUUGUGAAAGAGCCGUGUACAAGGCGUAGCAUCUAGACUCCGCUUAAUCCGCCCUCAAUAAAGCUGACAUAAUGAUCCUAAGCCGCCUUUCUACAAAAUCAUUCAGGAAUUCAAAACUUUUCCUUCCCUCUCCGAUUUACACAUUCUCCGGGGCUGACCGGAUAGACCACCGACUUCAAGCUUGGAGGGACAGUGAGUAGAAACCAUGCAUGUGCCGUCAGUGCUACCUGUUUAUAUUCACCGUUUGACCUCAACUGACAUACUUUAUGGAUGUCUGUGCGAAAUUAUCCCUGCCAAUAUUUGCGCACCUUUACGCAUCAGCGUUUUGGGGGCAACUUUGUGUGUAGCUGCGCGCACGCGUGCUGUGCAAGUGUCUGUGGUGCAGAGUUGUGGGGUUGUGAUGAUGUUGCAGGCUCAGACGUUUUGGUUUUGGGGAUGUGCGCGCCUGUUUGUGCGAGGGGGGUGGGGUGGUACACGGGAUCAAACCUGUCCACUGCGCUGCUGCACGAACCUCAGGAGGAGUAAUUCCAAGUGGCACUUGAAUUGGUCCCAUUGGAAAGCUCUGUGGACUGGAAGUAAAGGCUGGUAUUUUCAUGCUGGUGUUAAAACUAACCUCCUAGCCUAUACCCCCUCUCCCCGCUCUCUCCCCCUUACUGCCCCCCCCCUCACACACACACACAUGCAUGCAUGCACGACCCCAACAUUAAGUUGAGAGUGCAGGCUUAGCAGCAACUCCUCCGAAUAUGCAAAGCCUCCUACCUGACUGGGUUCCUGGUGCACCAAUUUAGGUGAUCACCAUUGAAUCCAAGGCUGCAGGUAUUAACCAGCAUUAUGUUCUGGAGGAGCCUUGUUUGGGAGUAGCCCUCGCAGGCAAUUCGGAAAUCACUCCUAGAAGAGACUAGAGGUGAAAUGUAAAACCUGAAUGGGGAUUGAGGGAGGAAAGCCACUGGUAAUUCACAUUCUUUUACAUGGCUUUUGUUUACGUUAAGCAUGUAAUUAACACCCCCCAAACAAGUUUAUUCACCUGCCGUAAUUGUGUGUUUAUCCGAGAGCUUGCUGAAUGUUCCUAGCAGCGGGGGACGAGAGCUCUGAAUGCACAUCGAGCAUUUAGCGUCUUGUCCGUUUAUUUACAGCCUAAACCUCCAGACACGACAACACAAACAGCAUUCUGCACGCUGAAACGCUGGGAGAAUGUUGGUCAAGCAUGCACAGAUGCUUCUCCUCUGCUCUGCUGCCACAUCUCUGCUCCUGUGGCACCUUAUUCCUGUUGUUAAACUUUGUUUAGAAAACUUUUGUGUGAAUAAAGUUAUUAAUUUCGUUGUUUAAGAAAUAGGCUACUACUAAUAUUUGAUUCCAUUACAUCUUCUUGUGCCACAGACUGAAUCUAAAGCAUAAGUCACCACGUUGAUUAAUUGCCAGUAAGUAACUUAUUUUCAUUGAGUCUGUUCCAAUAAGGGGAGCAAAUAAACAAAGCUGAUAUUACGUCAUGUACGGGAGUGAGCGAGAGAGAGAAGGGGACCGGAUGAGAGAAAGAAAGGAAAAGGUGUUGACUGUAAAAGGUAAGAGGGAAAGAGAAAGAAGGCACGAAAGAAAGGGUCUUGUUUUAUUUUUUGCUCCCUCGUUGACCCCAGUUUGGCAGAGGCUGGCCAGAAAAGGCAGCACACCCCUCCCUUACAAACACAGGAGAGACUCUGUGUUUGCUGCUCCAUCCUGGAUUCAUCUCAACAAUACACAGGACGAGACUUUGGAGAAAUGAUGGAGCUGUGACCACUCCACGGACUGUCACCAUUUGCAACUGGAGGUGGCACCGGUUCACUGCUAUUUCACUGCUCGAUGUGCCCGAGAUCGUGAUGGAAAUUCUACUGCGGCUCCUGUAAGUUCUGUCACCUGUAAGCUGACUCGUUUCCGUCUACGAUGGUGCCAAUAAUGUUCCGUAAACUGUGAGUAUUUUUAUUAUUAUUUUUGCGGAUAUUUCUUUAUUAAAAUAGUUAUAGUUUUUUUUAAAAUCCCAUAAGGCGUUUUAAUUUGAACCGGGAAGCAUCUCCUUUUUUAAAUGUGGUGUUUUUGCCAUUUUUAAUCACUGAGCACCGGGGAGGAUCUGCGCCUUUGCAGCGCAGAUGUGUGAUGCUGUCGGGUUGGGGCGCACAAUCCCCUCCGUCCCAUGCUGGCCAUUCCAGGGUACGGAGACUCGACACUGUGUCUACACUGUAAAAAGUAUCAAUCUAAAAAAGUCGUUUAUUGUAACACUGAGUUUUAAAAACAGGCAUUUCUGUUUUGAAAAUGUAUCCAUCAUUCGUUUGGCUAAAACGUGCGCAAAUCCUGGUAACAGGAUUGUGAUUAUUUUAUGUUUCCAUAUGGACUUUUUUCAAAACAGUUUAAAAUCAGUGUUAUUUUCUGAAUUGUAAUGGAGAUAUUCUGGGCUGAAUGUAUUCUGAUUGCUCUAAAAGGCUAACAUUUGUUUUUGGAAAAAAAAAUGCUGUGCGUAAAAAUUACUCUUUAUGCGUAAAAAUUGCCACUGGCAGAUUUUCAUUGCAUUUGCGGAAAAUAUGCUAAAAUCAAGACUGGAAAUUUAAGAUAUUUUUUGCAGUGUAUUAUCCCCUACUCCCACGGGAAGCCUAUAACCAGCUCCUGUAACCAUUUUAUUCUAUUUUUCCUCUUUAAACCCGUUCCAAACUGAAAUUACGCAUGCCAUUUUGCCUAUAAUUUGCUUGACAUCCAGUGCCAAAACCACUGAGUCUGCUGCAGCAGCUUUAAAGUGUGAACAGUUGCUAAAUUAUAACCACAGGUGCAAUAGGUCACCCUUCUGUUUGUGGAAGCUGCAUUAAACUCAACACUGCCUUCAUUUGGAAUUAAGGAAAUGGAAAAAUGCGACGAUUGAAUAUGCAGGUUUUUGUGCAAUUGUUGUCACAAUGAUCUCUAAAUGUGGCGCCAACUUUAACAGCUAAGCUUGUACAAAAGUUUUUAACAUCGCUCUCUUUCUCUCCCUCCCUCUCUCUCUCUCUCUCUGUCUGUCUGUCUGUCUCUCUCAGUCUCUCUCCCCUUUCCCUCCCUCCUUUCUUUUAUUGUUUUUAUUGUGUGGUCUCAUUAGGGGGACUUCCUGGCAGGGCUGGGAGCUUGUAUCGGAGCUGUCCAAUCAGUGUAUUUACACGGGUUGUUAGCGACAGUUAAUGAGGGCUCCUCCCCGGGCCGGUAGAGAAAGGCGCCUCAACAUUAAGAUUUACCUUGUGUCAACUCGUUACUUCUAAUGAACCUCCAUGCAAAAAGCCUCGCCGUACUCAAUGGAGCCGUGCGCCCGGAUCUUGUGUUUGAGACCCUGGAAGAGUGGAGCUGCAAGCCGGCCUCCCUCUCCCCCAUCCCCUUUUUCUUCCGCUCACUCAGGGAGAGUUGCUUUUUCUCUGCAGGUCCGGGUCUGUGGUGCAUGCUGUGUGUGUGUGUGUGUGUGUGUGUGUGUGUGUGUGUGUGUGUGUGUGUGUGUGUGUGUGUGCGUGUGCGUGUGCGUGUGUGUGAACAUGUGUGUCGAAUGAAGGUGGGUGGUGCACACAGCCUACUGUUCAUAAAAUGUCACUUUAGUAAACCAAAAUCUGCACAGUAACACCUCACUAUAUUCCGCUUUAAAUCAACACAUUACUAACAAAAUUGUGUUGAAACGGAUAUAUUAUCUAAAAACGGUUGUCUAGUCAUCUCUUCAAGUGUGAUCAGAGGCGAUCAGGACGGUGUUUGCCUGUCCCCUAUCACAAAAUACGUCCUCUAUUAUGUGUUGACUGAGGCCUGACCUGUCAGCUUCUUGCCUCUGCAGAAGUAAGUUCAUUUAGCAUCGUCCUCCAUCCCCCCACGGGAGCACCGAGCGCGGAUCGGACUCCAGCCCCUCUGUCCACCCCUCGUCUGGCCCCCAGUGUGGCUUGUUGAGCCGCAUCAGCAACACAUCACUGCCCCUCAAUUCAGGUACAAACUGGAGGAGUUUGGCAGAUCCCUGAAGUGGACUCCCCUCUUUACUCUGCUAAACCACAGAGACACCACUUAAAAAUCAAUUAGGCUCGUCUAGUCUCUCCCUGCGCGCCAGUCAUCAUUUCAAAAACACCAAAUUUUGGGAGGGAUUAAAACUAAAAAACCCAACUUGGAUUCAUUAUUUAAUUUUAACGUGGGUACAGUUGCACCUUAUAACCAUUCUGAAUUUCCACUACUACUACCACCAGGCUGCUCUCUACCUUCAUGAGAUAAUUUGCUUAUUUAAGUUGCUGUAUCUGAUAGAUUUUGUGCCAAGCUUCGCCUCUACUCCAGCUGCGAUUGGUAAAUAAAACGUUCCCUCUGACAGGACCUUUCAGUAUGAAGAGCGCUUAAAAACUGUUACACAAUAUGUUUGUACACGAUAAUGGGGUUUACCAUUUCGUAGACAAAUCUACAUCCAGCAGCAGCCAGCAGGUGACAAAGUGGCUUCUAUACUCCCGGUUGUUGGCACUUUGUCACCUGCUGGUGAUAGUGACAGAAAACAGUUUGGUUUCCAUAUUCUUCUAAAGACACAGAACUGUUCCUAAAAUCCAUCUGAUCACUUACACAGCCUCCUCCUUCAUGCCGAUAACUCCAUAUUAAAUGCGUAUUUUCUCGUGUCGUAUCUUUUCGACGCCGCUCAGUCGCCCGGUCCUCCGUGUUGCAGGGGAGCAGCAGCGCUGGAGGAGGCCGCGUGUUCACUCUUCCAGGUAGAUGGGCUGAUUUGGAGACGGAAAUAAAUAUAAUGGGUGCAUAUCAGAUGCAUGGCCCCGAGCUUUACAUAUGAUGCUCACCUUCCAUUCCCCAAUGACUUUUGCUUUUUUAUUUUUUUUAAAGAGCAAAACAAAACCUUCUCCACUUCCUCAGCUUUACUUCAGCCUCUCUUGUGCAGCACCUAUUAGGCCGCACGUUUAGGCCCAAAAUCUGCACUUUCAGGCCUGUAAAGUGUCCAGAGUUACAUCAGCACAAAUGUUGACAGAAUUUCUCUUUCUCUCUCUCUCUCUCUCUCUUUUUUAUAAAGAGACUGGUUUGGAUUUGCCUGUCCAGGCUGAUUACGCGCAGCGGCUCUCAGAUGCAGAUCGGAGCUGUGGCCCUUUAGCCCGGUGUCACCAGAGCUGACGAGCUGUAAUUACUGCGGCUGACAUAUCGCUCUCAGAGCUCACUAAUGUGAGGGACGUGGACAGCUCAGGCAGCUCGUAUGCAGUAGAGGCUGCUCAACUCUUUGGCCACGGAGUCGCUUGAGAUACAGGCGGGCUGCAGGCCACAUGCUUCUGCUGACCUUCUACAUUUUAACAUUUGAGUAGCGAAGCAGCCUCUUAUUUAUGAGCCAGUGAUACGGUGGAGGAGAUCACAAGGCUGCAAGUGAAUGAAAAACACAAUUUAACAGUAAACCAGUGGUGGAAAGUAAUCGAGUAGAUUUACUUAAGUACCUUAUGUACAGUUCUAAUGUAUUUAUACUUCACUGGAGUGGAUUAAUUUACUUCUACUCCACUAUUUACACUGUUAGCUACUUACAAAUUAAUAUUUUACGCACUAAUAUAUCAUAGCCUUCAAAAUAGUAGGUAGUAAUUAAUAUUAAGCUACAAGAUACAACAAUUGUCACCUUGAGCUUCCUGCAUGUUAAUUCAUCAAAAUUAAUAGUUAAAUAACAUAAUAUAGAGCAAGCAGAAGUAACCUCACUGUAUCAGAAGUAGAACUACAGUAUAAAUUUCAGGUAGAUAGAGGCAGAGAUAGUUCAGCUUACAAAUAUACUUUAUACAACAAAACAUAGUCAAAUGGGGGUUAUUUUGCAUAGUGAGCACUUUUAUGUUGAAUCAUUUAACAUUUUGCUGAUAUUUCAGUAAAUGCAACACUUUAGGCUUCUCUAAAUUCAACCUUAAGGAUCUGUUUCUUCUUGUAGAUUGAAAAUGUUUACCAUUAUAUUAUAAGAUUGCUAGAUGUUUCUAUUAGAUGAGCAUGCUAUUAUUAAUCAUAAACUAGUAAAUGAUCUCAGUAGCUGCUCGUCACAAUCAUUUAAUUCAUCCCACAACAAAUAGAAUUUAAGUUUCUCAGCGGUUAAAUUCAAUAAUUUCGUCAAAGCUUUAUUUUAUAGUCAGUAACUGUGAAAUAUUUAUAGUUCCACACUGAGUUUAGGUGUGAAAGGACCCACAGUUCUGUCAUUGUCUCACAUUUUGAUUGUUACGCUGUUUGCUUGGCACCAAAACCAACAAAUCCGACGUCUCUCCCUCCCUGUCUCCCUGUGUCUCUCUCUCCCUCUCCCCUCCUUGACUGCAGCUUUUGACAUUACUCCACUCGAUUGCCCGUUUACCCCCAAGUCAAGUUUGAGGCAGACAUGAAGUGUAAAAGAGGUGGGCCAUGUCAUAUCCGCUCAGUGUGCAGGGGAUUGUUGGCCUGCGUGCUGCUGAUCAUUGUUCAGGAGAACAAUCCAGGCAGGAAGAAGGCAGCAUGUCAGAAAACCUGCAAGAAUUAUUGAAAACCGAGGCUGCUUGGACAUUUUUUGCUCAUAGUUUUUAUUUUUGUUUUAUUUUACAGCAGUCUCAGUCCGGGUUUCUAUGAGAGCAGGGUUUGUUUACAUGUGGAUAAAUUACUUUCAGCACAUUUAGGUUAAGACUGUCCUUCAUUAAAACUCUGCAGUCUGGAACAUUUAUACAGCUGGACUUUGAAGAGAUUUUGUGACACUGAUCUGAAGGUAUUGCUAGCAUUAAUGAGAUUCAUCCCAUCUACCUUAAUAUGUUACAAAAACACGUUUUUCCCUUAAACUGGCCUAGAUGACCCUAAAUUAUUACCAAAAAUGGCUUUCUAGGAAUACUUUGAAUACACACACACACACACACACACACAUAUAUAUAUAUAUAUAUAUAGAGAGAGAGAGAUGCUAUUUAUGUAUUUAUUUAAUGUUUGUUGAUGUUUAUGUCGCCUAAAAUGACUUGAUUUUUUGGUAGAAUUAUCUUCUAUUCCCAACAUGUUCUUUUGGGUUUGGUUCUUGCUGCUUGGCUGCUUUUGUUUUUCUGCUGUAUAGUUGCAUUGGGGUCCUACAUGAAAUUUCAUUUCAUUUCUAUUGGUUUUAUUUAUAUAGCAUCAAUGCACAGCAUAUGUCACCUCAAGGCACUUUACAUAGGAAGAAUUUCACAAAAUUAACCAGUGAAUCUGAAAAUAUAUCCAGAGUUUCCUUUUUCGGUUCCUUUUACUCAUCAUUUGACACCUUUUGAAUGUAGAAAGUGCAGCUGAUUCUUCAACAUCUAACUGGUGUAGAUGUUUCUCUGCAGUUCACAUCGCUGUUUUACUGAUUGAUUCAGUAUUUGGCUAAUUGAUCCCCAAACGUGGUUACCCGAGGUGGUUGCUAGGCAACAGAUUAGUGCCGGCGUAGUCUCAGGUGUAUUUCUUAUCGAGUUCAUCGCAGCGGCUUGGACUCAGCAGCCAAUCAGAGGAGGUGAGGAGCGGAACUAACCGUCCUGUACCUGGAUAUUAGCUUACAGGAUAAUAACGGAGGGACGAGGAGCCGUUUAUUCACGGCUGAGCUGCGCCCGUCCGGUCUGAUUUGUGUCCGCGACUCAGUUUGGCUCGACGGAUCAAUAGAUGAUGUCUGGGAGAGGUGGGGGGGAGAGAAAUGAGAGGAAAGGAAAGGUGAGGUCAGGUAAGGUGCAACAGGUCAGUAAGAGAAUGACCCAGAGCAGAUCUGCGUAAAACCAACUUCUAUGGAAAUUUUGCAUUGAGACAGUUUGUGUUAAUAAAAAGUAAGACUCGUUUCUGUAGUAAAAGCUUCUUAUUCGUGAUAUUGUGUCGUGGUAGAUGAGAUAAUAAGACUGUAUAUUAAUGAAAAGCAAUAUGCUGUAAUACAUAUUAAACAGCAAACUAGUGGCAGAAAGUAAUGGAGUACAUUUAUUUAAGUAGUUUUGAGAACUUCUGUUGCAUUAAUACUUGUGUUUCUCAUUUAUUUGAUAGCUGCACAGAUUAAUGUUUUACAACAAAAUAGGUUAUCAAAAAAAAAUAUGACGUAUUAAUUCAUGUUAAGUUAUUCAGGAAUAUAUGAAGUUGUACUAGUUUAGCCUUGUGCUCCCAGCAGGUUCAUUUAUCAGGAUUAAUCUUUCCUUCUAUUAUAAAGGUAGCAGAGGUAAAGUCACUGGAUCAGAAGUGGAGAGUGACUGAAUACUUCUACUCAAGUAUUGUACAAGUUUGACUUACUUUCACUAGUCUCCCUUUUAUGCGUUUUUUAAAAACUUAAUCUCUAUUAAAUACACCAAAUUUUGUGGAAUGUUUUCCUACAGGCAGUUUAUUUGUGCUGUAAAGUAGCCUGUUAAAUAAUAAAAACAACAUUUUGGCAGCAUAUGAGGCCUCUUAGUUAUGAGCUAGUGAUAUGUAUGUAAAUGAAAAACAGCAUGUUGUAAUACUUAAAAUGAAUAUAACAGUGGUGAAAAGUAAUACAGUACAUUUACUUAAGUGAUGUAUUUGUACUUCAUUUGAGUGUUUCAAGUUUAUUUCUCUCUACUCCGCUAUUUUUUAUCAUGCAAAAAUUCAGGUUAAACUAUUCAACUGUAUGUAAAGUUGUUAAACAGUUUGACCUCGAUCUAAAUACAAAAGGAACAUUAGAAACUGCACAGGUAGCUACAGGAAGGUGACUAAUCAGACUAAUCCCUGAGUGCUUUUACUAAAGUAUUGUACAAAUUUGAUGCACUACUGUUGUUUUAUACUUCACAAAAAAAAGAAGUCAAUUUAUUUUAUUCUCAUUUAGGUUUCUUUUUGGGAAAAAAAAAGCAGUCUGCAUGCAUUAUAGAUUUUGGGUGUAAUAAUGCUGGAAAAUAAGAAUUAUUAUUAUUAUUAUUAUUAUUAUUAUUAUUAUUAUUAUCACUAUUAUUGUUAUUGUUAUUAUUAUUGCCUGAGAUUAAACCAUAACAUACUGACAUUUGUUAUGUCAGUAUGUAGAAGAAUUAUCAAACAUAACCAAAGCUGUCAUUUAAAUUGGAUUCUGACCAUUACGCAUGAAAAGAGCGCAAUUCUGCGGCCUGAAAAUAAGAUUUUCCUCCUUAGCUUCUGUCCGUGUGUCUGUGUGGAAGCAGAAUGUCCUUCUGGAUCAACUCUUUGAUUCCCAGACUGAGUAUUUUGUCUGCUCACGGUGCUGAUUGGCUUCUGGCAGUAUCAGUAGUUUAUAUCAGGUCUGUGCGCUCACCAUGCACACCCACUGGCCGCUAUUGAAACCAUAAAUGUUUCCACACGCGUGUACUGCAGGAAUCAUCGGAGCCUGCAUGCGUGUAACCUGCCAUCCAUCUCCUCUGUGCAGCUCACAAAAUAAAACCCCCGAAGUGCCACCCAGACCACACAGCCUCCUAAUAUUCCAAUAACACCAACCGUGGACUUGACCUAUAUCCGCCUGCGACAUAUUCCAGCUUUGUUACUGUUGUUCAUUCAUUAUUCAGGUGGCGAUGAUUGGCUCUGGAUGGCAGAUGUCAGAGCGUGAUGGAGAUGUUUGUGUUUGACUGAUUUAAGGAGCCAUUAUCCCGCCCGCUUAUCAAACAUUCAUGUGUGGCAGCUGUAGUUGUGGAUCUGCCCUCCGCCGUGUCUCCUGUGGCCGCUUCGUUUCUCUUCUUAAGCAGCCACGACCUUUCCACUCGGUUAACCUAUUAUCUUUUAACAUUUAAGAGGCAGCUCAGCUCCUUCUGAGGAACGAAAACAUCUGAAAGCAUCACAUAUAGGCUCUAUAUCACAGAAAAAAAUGUAUAUGACAAGCCAAACCCUUUGUAGCAGAGAAUAUAGAUCGUUUUGAAUUAAAAAAUGGAGCUUUAAGUGUCCAUUAAACGACAGAAAAAACAUCACGAAUAGCGCAGAAAGUUAAAUAUAACGUCUAAUACGACUUAAGUGAACAAACUAUAAUGAAUACAAGAAUAAAAAUGUAAAAAAUAUGCUACAUAAUGUCACUAUGAGCGACACAGCACCAAAUUAGACGAAUAUUACACUAACCUUUGCUUGAAGGUAUCGAUUCCCUUCACACAAUUAGUCUUUACAGCUAAUUGCACAUUAGUAAAGAUCAUAACAAAAUGGUUUGACUGUAUAGACGGCAAUUAAUUCUGAUGUGAGUCAUCAGAGGCACCAUUAUUAUUAUUUUUAAUCAUUUAAUAUGCAAGAAAAUUUAAAGUAAUUUUAUUCUUCGCAUAUUUUCUCAGAUGUAAGUUGCUUUUGUGGCUUAGAGGCUACUUAUCACAAACCAAAAUGCAAUUUAAAUAAGAAAUAAAUUCCUUUUCUGAUUUUUUUCUUACAAUAUAAAGGUACAAGGGGGACACAUGAAGUGUAGGGAAUUUAUGAGCAUAAAACACUUGAUGUCCUGCAUUCUGGUGAAUGAUUUUUGCUUCAGUUUUAUGCACCAAUUUGUGUUGGAAAUGUCUUUAAUUUUACAAAGAAAACACUAAAUGCAGGCACAGUUUGACAAAUCCAAACAUAAUGGAAUAUAAUGCAGUUAGACUCUCAGGGAGUUUUAAAUAUUUAUUCUCCUGUAGAUCAACUUUUCUUAUUUAAUAUCAUCCUUGCUGGGUAGAUACACAUCCCAGCAUCAUUUAGUCUUUUUUCUGUCCUGUUUUUUUAAAGUCACUUCUUUAAAUUGUUACUUUAAAUUGAAUUCUUUUGAAUUCAUUUGUAAUUAUAAAUCAAUAUGGAAGAGUAAUAACCAGGAAACAUGAUGGGCUGUUUGUGUAAUCCUAAAAUACAGAACUUAUCAAGACAAAUUUUAAAAAUAUAGAUUAAGUUUUACAGACUUUAAUUGCUCCUAUCCAAUAUUCCACAUCAAAACAGCUAAAAGGAAACUUCUCCAUUUUAAUCCUGGUGCAACAUAGUUGUUUUCUAAAAGCUUUAAAAAUGAAAGAAAUCCCUGCAGCCUCUGAUGCUUCCAUGGAAUCUUUUCUCUGCCUCCACAGACCAUCCAGUCCAUGUCUCUUUUUUUUUUUUUUUGUAAUUGCCUUGCCAACACGGUGGUUUUCAUUGGUCCUGACCCCUCCAUGAACAGCACGCCGCCGCCCUCGCCGCUCUCACCCCUCCACCCACCCCCACAGCCUCCACACGGACCCCCGCACAAUGCCGCGUGUGCGUGCGCGCUCUGCGGGUAUGUGGGCCAGAUGUCGUGCAGAGGUAAUGGGAAGUAGUCGGAAGGUGAGGUCGCGGGUUCACGGCGGGGUUAAAGAGACCCGUCCGUGGCUUCUGUUUUCUUCUUCUUCUUUUUCUUUUUUUUCUUGUUUCCUCCACAGCUCCGCUUCCUUCCUACCGGAGGAUGUGUCCAGUGCGCCACCGCGCUCACCCCGCCGCAACCCCGUCAACUGCGCACAGCCUGUUUGUUUUUCUGCGUUUAUUAAAUGUUCCCCCGGCAGGAAAAACCACCAACAUCACCACGUCACCGGGUGCUGGUGAGUUUCGCACUUUGCAUCCCUCCUCGGCUGCCUGAGAAGUCUUUUGUGUUUGGACUUGUGAAGUCUAUUUAUAUCCACAUGCAGGCAGGAGGACCGUUCAAGGCUGCUGCAGUUUAUCCUCAAGGUUCAACACAACAUUUCCAAAAACAUCCGCACACAUUAACAAUUUUAAACCACCUUUGCUGCACUUUUCUUCAAAAAUCAUUAAUUAUUUCUCCUAUCAGACAGAAGUCAGAGACCCUCCACCCCAUAAUGAACAAACCACCACUUCUGCCCCUUUGCAUCAACUUUCUGAUGAAUCCACGUUUAAGCAGAAUAACAGUGCAGCUGAAAGGAAACAGACAUAAAUGUUCUUUUUUUCCUCUCUUUUUUUAGUACAGAGAUUAUUAUUAUUAUCUCAUUAGGGAUAACUGCCUGCAGGUCAGGUGGGUUAUCCACCAUUUUAAUUGCCACAGCAUCAUUGUUCAGGCCUUUAACCAUUUUUUUGUAGGUUUUUCUCUAAUGUAAUGAGACUGUGUGUAUUAUGGAAAUGAAGUCUAUAUGAUGGAGAUAAUUCAAGUGAAAUCAUUAAAGCCUGGGAUUCUUAUAGGAUAGAAUGUCUUUUUUUAAAUUGUAUUCCUCUUCUGUUGGAUGCAGGUGUUAUUUAGGUUUAGCUUACAGCUUAUUUUUGCAUAUAAAGUUAUAAAAAUGUAAAUUUAUUUUUUAAAAUAAAAAAUAGGUUAUCUAUAGAUGAGAAGAAAAUAAUCGACACCCUGCUUUUAUAGACUUGAUUGUUCUGCAGUUUCUCUUUCAGAUUUGUCAAUAAAACAACAAUAAAACUUGUUUUAAAAGCAA